rnacentral:rRNA from 1 species
UACGUAGAAGACUAGUGUUAUUCAUCUUUAAUAGGUUUAAAGGGUACCUAGACGGUAAAUCAAGCCUUAGCCGGGACUAGUUUACUAGAGUUACUUAUGAGGGGGCAUUAAAGUACUAAAGGUGUAGAGAUAAAAUUCUAUCAUACCUUUUUUCGAAGGAAAAGUAAUGGCACAAAUAUAGGCGAAAGCAUCCCCUUAUGUGAUAACUGACGUUGAGGGACGAAGGCUUUGUGUCGCGAACAGG